rnacentral:lncRNA from 1 species
AAGACCAGAAUCACAGCCUCGGUUUCUCGAGUCAGUCCCAGGACCACAGCAGCUCUCUUCUCUUCCGCUCUGCGCUCCCCGGCAUCUCAUGGCCAGGGAAGGCACAGUGGUCCCAGAGGGGAAUCCCCAUCUUCACUGCCUAUUGGAAGGAAUGUGGAGAUCUCUCAUGGUGGAAACGUUCCUCUCCUGGGUGUAAAACCCCUACAGCAGCUGGGCGCAGUGGCUCACACCUAUAAUCCCAGCACUUUGGGAGGCCAAGGAGGAUGGAUCAUGAGGUCGAGAGAUCGAGACCAUCCUGGCCAACAUGGUGAAAAACCCCCAAUACAAAAAUUAGCUGGUUGCGAUGGCACGCACCUGUAGUCCCAGCUACUCAAGAGGCUGAGGCAGGAAAAUUGCUCGAACCCAGGAGGUGGAGGUUGCAGUGAGCUGAGAUCAUGCCACUGCACUCCAGCCUGGCGACAGAGCAAGACUCCGUCUCAAAACAAAACAAAACAAAACAAAAAAACAGAACCCAGGUUUCAGAGACUAGAAGCAGAACCUUUGCACUGGGUGAUGGGUGCCCUGCUUGGGACCCUAUGGCUCACACCUGUGCAUUCUGAACAAGGAGAACCGCAGAUGGGCUCCGUGAGCUGGUGCAUGCACAGGUGGAGGGCAGCAUUUUCUUGUCUACAGGGAAUAAGGAAAGGAUGUGUUAGGGGAUCUGGAGGCAGGGACUUCCAGGACUGUCUCAUCUGCCAGCACGUCCGCAGAGCCAGGCUCUUGCAUUUUUCCCUUCACUGACCUCCUGAGGUUCCAUCCACUGAGGUUCCAUCCCAGCCUUCCUGUUUCAUGAGCCCUUGAAUGUGUGAUGGGUGGCACAUGUGACCAUGAGCCCGCAGCCUGGCUGUAGCUCCUGAGUCAUCUGCCUGUCUGUGGGUGACCAGCAGGGCGGGAAAGGUGUUCAGUCAGUGAAGGGCUGGUGGCACUGAGGGCCGUAUAGGAUGGGGGCAUUCAGAUCCAGAAUAAGUGUAGAUUCCUGGGGAGCGAGCAGCUGCCUCCUCCAAUGGAAGGGGUCGGCCACAAGCUGGAGCUCCCCAUGGGCAUCGAGAUGCCAAGAGAGGGCCCAGGAGCACCAGAUCUGCUCCCAUCAGCCUUGGUGACAUGGCAGUGGUGAGCCCAUGCAAAGCCUCCUUCCCCCCAGACCACCUCUCAGCAGACCAGGCCCUGGAGGCUAGAGAGGCGCAGAGUGACACUCGGUGACACCUGUCCCCACACCCCAGGGUAGGUGCCCCCGCAUGGGACUGCAGUGGGGCCUUUCAGGGAACAGUCGGGACAGAAGCAUCCUCACCUCCAUGGCCAUUCCAAGACGCCGGUCCCUGCCCUCUUCCCAAAGCUCACGGCUACUUAUUCUUCCAUCCUCCUCCCUCCAGCCCUGGCAUCUCUGACCAAACCCUGAGCUGCUUCCACAGGUCAUGUGGCCCGGGCCGGCUUCCCUCCAUCCACAAGGAAACUGAGAUUGGCCACUCAGGGCUCUGCCCAAACCGAGGUCCCCUUUCUGCCGGGCAACAGGCCACUCCCACCUGGAAUUAGCCUGCAGUGCAAUCUGAAACAGGUUUGCGUUUCUCCCACCUCUGUCACAGGUAUUAGGGAAUGCCCCAUCAGGCCCCAGGGGAGGCCCCAGGUGCCCUGGGUGGAGGGGAGGUGGCCUUGGCACAGAUGCAAAUCACCCAUGUCUCCAGGGACUGCUCGCACUCCUGAGGGCCACACCCACCUGUGUCCUUCCAGCUCAUGGAGGGCAGCUCAUGACCCACGCUCGAAUGUUUGGGCCAAAGCUGGUUGUGCUGGAAGGAGUGAAUCUCCCUGCCAAAGAGGGCCCUGCUCAGCUCCAAACCGCUGGACGCUCUUGGGUGGUCCUCCAGCGGGCCUGCCGGAGGCCCCUCACGCCCGUCAGCAUAGCUUCCUGCAUCUCAAGCCCCACACCCUGGCCUAACGGAUCUUAAGGCCACAGGCAAGGCAGCUGCACCAGCAGAUGGUGGCCUCGUGCUCUGACACCAGACUUGGGUCUCUAGUAAAGGGGCAGGAGCCACUCCCCAAGUAAGGCAUGUGGCCCCUCAGAAGUCCACAGAGAUUGAGCCAAGAUUGGGCCCGUUUCUGAGGGACCAAGGGCCACACACAUAGGGCACCCACUGGUGUUCACUUUGGUCCAGUGUGACGACUGUAGCGUGAGGAGUUGGCAGGAAGCAGACAGAACGAGACAGCCGGUGUGCUCCUGAGGCAGGACACGUGUGUGUGCAUGUGUGUGCACACGUGUGUGUGUGGACGCAGGAGAGAGAGACAGACGGAGACAGAAGGGGAGGGAACUGCCGUCAGCAACUGCUGCAUCCACGUGCGGGGCUGUGCUCAUUUACUCCAAUCAGCCACAUCUGAAACAGCGGCAGCACCAUCUUCAUCUGGUGUAACUCAGGAGACGCUGCUCACCAAGUCCUCAGGAGAGCCGCCGAACCCCUGCCCUGGAGCUCAGUUGCCGGGUUAAUGGCCAAGAGCCUCUUUGGGGAAGGCCAGAGAGCGGAUUCUUGGUACUGUAAGUCCUCGUCAUAUUAUUACAGGGUCCUUUCUGUAAGAGAUUUGACCACCCUUCCUUCGAAGCGGCUCUGGGUGAUCCAGGAAUUGGGUGAGAGGCUAGGACUCUAUCGUGAUAGUGCAAGGUGCCUCUGUUCACCGGAUCUUGGGCUUUUCUUUCUCUCUUUUUUUUUUUUUUUUUUGAGACAGAGUCUCACUCUGUCCCACAGGCUGGAAUGCAGAGGCUCACUGCAACCUCCACCUACCAGAUUCAAGCGAUUCUCCUGCCUCAGCUUCCCGACUAGCUGGGACUACUGGCACACACCACCACACCCGGCUAAUUUUUUGAAUUUUUAGUAGAGAUGGGGUUUCACAAUGUUGCCAGGCUUGUCUUGAACUCCUGACCUCAGGUGAUCCACCCGCCUCGGCCUCCCAGAGUGUUUGAGAUUACAGGCAUGAGCCACCGAGCCCGGCCCGGAGCUUGAGUUUUUCUAAUGCUACAGAUCAUGUGAGGGUUUUGCAAGCUGCCUGCCUGUUUUGGUCCCGUUUGCCUCCUCCUUACGGCCAUCAGGAAGCACUUUCAAUUGCAGCAUGUCCAGAGGGCCUCUCUGACCUACACAGAGCAGCCGCAGGGAAUGUUCUAGGAGACUGGUUCCUCCUUCCCUGCACAUUUCCCUGAGCAGGCUUUGGGGGAGGAGAGCUUCCUGGGUCUGUCCAGAGUCGAGGCCAGCAAUUGACUGCACACGGCACACACGGCACGGCUUCUGGCUCCUUGGUGCCUUGGAUUCCUUUCUCUACAACACACUGAGGAAUUCAUGGGCCAUCCAUGACUCCAGUUUUCAGUCAAAGCAAUUGAGAAGAUAAUUAGCACCGCUCCCAGCUGCUCAAGCUAGCGCACAAAGCCGGAAUCUCUCAUGCAUGCACCUGUACUACAUAUUUUUAGCUUCAGCUUCCUAUCAUGAAAACCCAACAUAGCAAGGGCUCUAUAUGACAUUUUUCUUUAUUUUCUGUCACAUAAAAGGGAGAAGGCAUCCUUUCGGGAGGUAGACUUCCUCCAUUAUUGUAUGCCUGCCACCCUCAAGGCUACCCUCAUGAUCUAUAAUGGCUGCUAAGAUUCCAGCCAUCACUUCUGCCUUUCAGGCAGCAAGAAGAAGGUAGCAGAAAAGGACAAAACUUUUCCCAGUCGUCUCUCCUGAGACUGAGCUCCUCUAUUAUUUUUAUUUUUUUGAGACAGUGUCUCACUCUGUCACCCGGGCUGGAGUGCAAUGGACUGAUCAUAGCUCACUGCAGCCUUGACCUCCUGGGCUCAAGCGAUCCUCAGCCUCCACCUCAGCCUCCUGAGUAGCUGGGGCCACAGGUGUGUGCCACUAUCCCCAGCUAAUUUCUGAGUUUUUCUAGAGAUGGGGUCUUGCUAUUUUGCCCAGGCUGGUCUCAAAUGUCUCAGCUCAAGCAGUCCUCCCGCAUGGGCCUCCUAAAGUGCUGGGAUUACAGGCGUGAGCCACGGUACCCUGCCUGUCAGUGAGAUUUUUAAAAACCAUGUUAUUGGUAUAUUAUGCACACACGUGUGGAAGUGUAGAGCUCAGUGAAUUGUUGCGUUACACGUAAACACGGCUGGCACCACCCCUCGGAUAGAGACACUGAACCUUUCCCUCACCCUAGAAGGUUCUCUAGGUCAGAACCUCCACUUGUAACCACUGAUUCUGAUUUCUGUCGACAUCCAGUAGUUGUUCCAGCUCUUAAACUUCAUGUAAAUGAAAUUGUACCUAAGUACCCACUCCUUAGUGUCAUGUCAGCCUUUUUGGCUUCCACACAAUGCCUAUGAGAUUCAUGCACGUUGUUCUUUGUAGCUGAAGUGAACCCCGUUACCUGACUAUGCUACAGGUUAUCAACCCAGUCUACAGAGGAUGGGCAUUGUGUUGUUUUCAGAGGGUGGUUUUUGUUGUUGUUAUUUUGAGUGAGCUCCUAUGAACUUUUUUUUUUGAGACAGAAUUUUGCCCUUGUUGCCCAGGCUGGAGUGCAGUGGCACAGUCUUGCCUCACAGCAACCUCUGCCUCCUGGGUUCAAGAGAUUCUCCUGCCUCAGCCUCCCAAGUAGCUGGGAUUACAGGUGUGCACCACCACGCCCAGCUAAUUUUUGUAUUUUUAGUAGGCGGGGUUUUACCAUGUUGGCCAGGCUGGUCUCAAACUCCUGACCUCAGGUGAUCCACCCACCUCAGCCUCCCACGGUGCUGGGAUUACAGGUGUGAGCCACUGUGCCCAGCCUUGUACUAAUUUUUUUUUUUUUUUUGAGAUGGAGUCUCACUCUAUCACCCAGGCUGGAGUGCCGUGGCGCGAUCUCGGCUCACUGCAAGCUCUGCCUCCCAGGUUCACGCCAUUCUCCUGCCUCAGUCUCCCGAGUAGCUGGGACUAGAGGCACCUGCCACCAUGCCCAGCUAAUUUUUUUUUUUUUUGGUAUUUUUAGUAGAGAUGGGGUUUCACUGUAUUAACCAGGAUGGUCCUGAUUCCUGACCUCAGCCUCCUAAAGUGCUGGGAUUACAGGUGUGAGCCGCCGCGCCCGGCCAGCCUCGCACUAAUUUUUACACCAGCCAGUGUUCUUAGUUACAACCAACAGAAACCACCUCUGGUUAACGUAAACAGGAUAAAGAUUUAUGGAAAAAAUAUAAGCUCACAGAAUUGAUAGGAAGGCUAGGAGUUGAGUGGGAAUUAAGUAAGGUGGCCGCGCGGUUAACUUUUGCUAAGUAACAAACUACUCCAAAACUCAGUGGCUGAAAACCAUCAAACAAUAACCAUUCAUCCGCCUUGACCCUGUGAGUUGUCAUUUCAGCUGGGCUCACCUGGGAGGGCUUGCCUUUGCUCCCCAUGGUGUUGGCUGGGCUCACUCAUGUCAGAGGCGUCACCCGGGACGGCUGGAAGAGCUGGGAAGGUGGGGACCCUCUCUCCACAGGGUCUCAUUCUGGUAGACGCUAACCCAGGCCUGGUCCCAUGGUGGCAGUGUUCCAUGAUGUGGAAUGCAGAACCUAUUUUUUCUCUUUUUUUCUGGUUGGGCGUGGGGCUCACGCCUGUAGUCCCAGCCCUUUGGGAGGCCAAGGUGUGCAGAUCACUUGGGGUCAGGAGUUUGAGACCAGCCUGACCAACAUGGUAAAACCCUGUCAAAAAUUAGCCUCACGUGGUGGCACGUGCCUGUAAUCCCAGCUACUGGGGAGGCUGAGACAGGAGAAUCACUUGAACCUGGGAGGCAGAGGUUGCAAUGAGCUGAGAUAGCGCCACUGCGCUCCAGCCUAGGCAACAGAGUGAGACUCUGUCUCAAAAAAAAAAAAAAAAAAAAAAA